CCGGGAGCUGCCCCACGCGGGGACGGUGCUGGCGGCUCCGGCGAUGCCGCUCGGGGCGGGAGAGCCCAGCGUCAUUCAUCCAGGAGCUGCCGGCCGAGCUCCUGACACGAGCCGAACAACACAGCAAGCUCGGAGAGGAGGCAGGUACGCAGGAUUGCGCCCAUUUUCCUGCUGCACCCGCUGAGGCAGAGCUUCCUGCACGGCAGCCGUGCCUGGCUGCCAGGCUUAGAUGCCCGCAGCUGGGGGUUCCCCGGGGCUGCCCUGCUCGCUGCAUGCGGCAUUUUGGCAAGAGGCAAAGGAAGCUGCCAAGAGACAAAUCGCCUUGGCUGCUGCUGCAGGAUGCUGGAGCAGAUUUUGCAGUUUUGAAGUGCAGCAAAUCUCGUGACUGUCACUUCACGCACUCGGCACAGCUGGAGCCUGCCCGCUUCUCCACCGAGCCAAGGGCAUCGCCAGGGGACGUUUCGGAGCAGCUCCCGUCCUCUGCCAGCGGCUCCAGGAUGAACGGGAACCAGCGUGCUGCUGGGACGGACGCUUUACGACCGAUCUAGAUGCGUUUCUGCUAGGAGGUGUAACUUGUACCCCAAAACCAAGCUGAGGGAAUGACCUUGGCGGCUCAGCGGCGCUUCCCCUGCUGUUAAUUAAAGAGCGGCAGCAGCGCGGCUGCUGUGCAGCAGCACGGUCCCCUCGGAGCGCGGAUUCACGCAGCUUUCCAUGGCUUUCGAAGCUGAGCCCUCCCAGGGCACGGGGCACGGUGGGAGCCACGGGAUCCCCUCUGCAGCCGGGACGGAGGGCAGGUCCGCGCGAGAGCCCCCGCCGGUCCCCCCCGGCAGCU